rnacentral:misc_RNA from 1 species
GAAAUGCGAUACGUAGUGUGAAUUGCAGAAACACGUGAACCAUCGAAUCUUUGAACGCACAUUGCGCUUGACCCUUCGGGGAGAGCACAUCUGCCUGAGCGACGGUUUUCCCCUCAAUCCCCCCUCCCUCCGUGGAGGUCUGGCCGAUUGGAUCUGGCCUUCCGAGCUGUUCCGCCCGUUUCACGACGGCUGCAGCUGGGUCGGCUGAAGCGCAGAAGGCUUGAGCAAGGACCCUCCAUUACAGGGGCACGGCAAGGUAGAGAGUGUAGGCACUUCGGUGCUGAGCCUCCCUUACCGCCGAUCACUGCCCUGGAGCUUGGUCAUCCCACUUGUCUCUUGCUUUGCAGGAAAACAUCUAUCCUUUCGUCCUCAGUUCAGGUGAGACUACCCGCUGAACUUAAGC